AUUGAACGCUGGCGGCAGGCCUAACACAUGCAAGUCGAACGAGUGGCGGACGGGUGAGUAAUGUCUGGGAAUCUCCCUUAUGGAGGGGGAUAACUCCGGGAAACUGUCGCUAAUACCGCAUACCCUCAGAUGCGCCCAUGUGGGAUUAGGUAGUUGGUGGGGUAAAGGCUCACCAAGGCGACGAUCCCUAGCUGGUCUGAGAGGAUGACCAGCCACACUGGGACUGAGACACGGCCCAGACUCCUACGGGAGGCAGCAGUGGGGAAUAUUGCGCAAUGGGGGCAAGCCGGAUGCAGCCAUGCCGCGUGUAUGAAGAAGGCCUUCGGGUUGUAAAGUUCUUUCAGUAGGGAGGCGUUACCGACAGAAGAAGCACCGGCUAACUCCGUGCCAGCAGCCGCGGUAAUUC
rnacentral:rRNA from 1 species